rnacentral:snRNA from 1 species
GGAGGUGGGGGUGACCUGGCUGCGACACAUGCCACUCCAUUGAUCGCCAGGGUUGAUUCGGCUGAUCUGGCUGGCUAGGCGGGUGUCCCCUUCUUCCCUCACCGCUCCACGUGUGUCCCUCCCGAACCUGCACGCUUGUGACAGCCUUCCCCGGUAGAGGAAGACGGUUCUGCGGUCAAGGGUGUGGGUACGAGUAGCUGCGCUCUCCUGCUAGAACCUCCAAACAGGCUCCCUCAUGCCACACUGAUUUCUGUAAAUAUCCAUCCUCCCCUACUCACUUUGUUAAGUUUAAGGUAUAUUUCCCUAAAAAUGUACAUU